UCAUUAAAUCAGUUAUCGUUUAUUUGAUAGUACCUUACUACUUGGAUAACCCGUGGUAAUUCUAGAGCUAAUACAUGCUAAAAACCUCGACUUCGGAAGGGGUGUAUUUAUUAGAUAAAAAACCAAUGCCCUUCGGGGCUCACUGGUGAUUCAUAAUAACUUAACGAAUCGCAUGGCCUUGUGCCGGCGAUGGUUCAUUCAAAUUUCUGCCCUAUCAACUUUCGAUUGUUGGGUCUUGGCCAACAAUGGUUUCAACGGGUAACGGGGAAUUAGGGUUCUAUUCCGGAGAGGGAGCCUGAGAAACGGCUACCACAUCCAAGGAAGGCAGCAGGCGCGCAAAUUACCCAAUCCUGAUACAGGGAGGUAGUGACAAUAAAUACUGAUACAGGGCUCUUUUGGGUCUUGUAAUUGGAAUGAGUACAAUUUAAAUCCCUUAACGAGGAACAAUUGGAGGGCAAGUCUGGUGCCAGCAGCCGCGGUAAUUCCAGCUCCAAUAGCGUAUAUUAAAGUUGUUGCAGUUAAAAAGCUCGUAGUUGAACCUUGGGCCUGGCUGGCCGGUCCGCCUCACCGCGUGCACUGGUCCGGCCGGGCCUUUCCUCCUGGGGAGCCGCAUGCCCUUCACUGGGUGUGUCGGGGAACCAGGACUUUUACUUUGAAAAAAUUAGAGUGUUCAAAGCAGGCCUAUGCUCGAAUACAUUAGCAUGGAAUAAUAGAAUAGGACGUGUGGUUCUAUUUUGUUGGUUUCUAGGACCGCCGUAAUGAUUAAUAGGGACAGUUGGGGGCAUCAGUAUUUAAUUGUCAGAGGUGAAAUUCUUGGAUUUAUUAAAGACUAACUACUGCGAAAGCAUUUGCCAAAGAUGUUUUCAUUAAUCAGUGAACGAAAGUUAGGGGAUCGAAGACGAUCAGAUACCGUCGUAGUCUUAACCAUAAACUAUGCCGACUAGGGAUCGGGCGAUGUUAUCUUUUUGACUCGCUCGGCACCUUACGAGAAAUCAAAGUCUUUGG
rnacentral:rRNA from 1 species